AUACUUUGUUUUCUGUUCAAACCAAAACUAAAUCUUUCACCUUUUACUAAAGAUUUCCGUGGAGAGUAAUAUUUACUGAGUCUAUAGAUUUAUUCUUCUAAUCAGGAAGUUUUUGGGG